rnacentral:rRNA from 1 species
CCUGGCCGCGGCCUACACAUGCAGUCGAGCGGCAGCGGAAGUAGCUUGCUACUUUGCCGGCGAGCGGCGGACGGGUGAGUAAUGUCUGGGAAACUGCCUGAUGGAGGGGGAUAACUACUGGAAACGGUAGCUAAUACCGCAUAACGUCGCAAGACCAAAGAGGGGGACCUUCGGGCCUCUUGCCAUCAGAUGUGCCCAGAUGGGAUUAGCUAGUAGGUGGGGUAACGGCUCACCUAGGCGACGAUCCCUAGCUGGUCUGAGAGGAUGACCAGCCACACUGGAACUGAGACACGGUCCAGACUCCUACGGGAGGCAGCAGUGGGGAAUAUUGCACAAUGGGCGCAAGCCUGAUGCAGCCAUGCCGCGUGUAUGAAGAAGGCCUUCGGGUUGUAAAGUACUUUCAGCGGGGAGGAAGGUGUUGAGGUUAAUAACCUCAGCAAUUGACGUUACCCGCAGAAGAAGCACCGGCUAACUCCGUGCCAGCAGCCGCGGUAAUACGGAGGGUGCAAGCGUUAAUCGGAAUUACUGGGCGUAAAGCGCACGCAGGCGGUCUGUCAAGUCAGAUGUGAAAUCCCCGGGCUCAACCUGGGAACUGCAUUCGAAACUGGCAGGCUAGAGUCUUGUAGAGGGGGGUAGAAUUCCAGGUGUAGCGGUGAAAUGCGUAGAGAUCUGGAGGAAUACCGGUGGCGAAGGCGGCCCCCUGGACAAAGACUGACGCUCAUGUGCGAAAGCGUGGGGAGCAAACAGGAUUAGAUACCCUGGUAGUCCACGCCGUAAACGAUGUCGACUUGGAUGUUGUGCCCUUGAGGCGUGGCUUCCGGAGCUAACGCGUUAAGUCGACCGCCUGGGGAGUACGGCCGCAAGGUUAAAACUCAAAUGAAUUGACGGGGGCCCGCACAAGCGGUGGAGCAUGUGGUUUUAAUUCGAUGCAACGCGAAGACCUUACCUACUCUUGACAUCCAGAGAACUUUCCAGAGAUGGAUUGGUGCCUUUCGAGAACUCUGAGACAGUGCUGCAUGCUGUCGUCAGCUCGUGUUGUGAAUGGUGGGUAAGUCCCGCAACGAGCGCAACUCUUAUCUUGUGCAGCCGUCAGCGGGCAACUCAAAGGAACUGCAGUGAUACUGGAGAGUGGAUGACGUCAGUCACUGCCUUACGGAAGCUACCACGUGCUACAAUGGGCGCAU